UCCGAUGUGGUCUAGUGGCUAGGAUUUGUCGCUCUCACGGACUACGCCAUCCAUAGUGCCGACAAGGCCGGGGUAUGUUGGCAGUAGUUGAAGACGUUCUUCGAGCACAACCAUUGACAGCGUACUAGGUUCGAUUCCCCGCAUCGGAA